UACGGGGGGGGCAAGCGUUGUUCGGAAUUACUGGGCGUAAAGGGCUCGUAGGUGGCCAACUAAGUCAGACGUGAAAUCCCUCGGCUUAACCGGGGAACUGCGUCUGAUACUGGAUGGCUUGAGUUUGGGAGAGGGAUGCGGAAUUCCAGGUGUAGCGAUGAAAUGCGUAGAUAUCUGGAGGAACACCGGUGGCGAAGGCGGCAUCCUGGACCAACACUGACACUGAGGAGCGAAAGCCAGGGGAGCAAACGGG
rnacentral:rRNA from 1 species